AACGAACGCUGGCGGCAUGCCUAACACAUGCAAGUCGAACGAAGCCUUCGGGCUUAGUGGCGCACGGGUGCGUAACGCGUGGGAAUCUGCCCUUGGGUUCGGAAUAACAGUUAGAAAUGACUGCUAAUACCGAAUGAUGUCUUCGGACCAAAGAUUUAUCGCCCAAGGAUGAGCCCGCGUCGGAUUAGCUAGUUGGUGAGGUAAAGGCUCACCAAGGCGACGAUCCGUAGCUGGUCUGAGAGGAUGAUCAGCCACACUGGGACUGAGACACGGCCCAGACUCCUACGGGAGGCAGCAGUGGGGAAUAAUUGGGACAAUGGGCGAAAGGCCUGAUCCAGCAAUGCCGCGUGAGUGAUGAAGGCCUUAGGGUUGUAAAGCUCUUUUACCCGGGUACUGAUAAUGACAGUACCGGGAGAAUAAGCCCCGGCUAACUCCGUGCCAGCAGCCGCGGUAAU
rnacentral:rRNA from 1 species